GUGUCAGCAGCCGCGGUAAGACAGAGGGGGCAAGCGUUGCUCGGAAUUACUGGGCGUAAAGGGCGCGUAGGCGGGAUGGCAAGUCGGUCGUGAAAUCCCUCGGCUCAACUGAGGAACGUCGAUCGAUACUGCUGUUCUUGAGGAUUGCAGAGGAGACUGGAAUUCCCGGUGUAGCGGUGAAAUGUGUAGAGAUCGGGAGGAACACCGGUGGCGAAGGCGGGUCUCUGGUAAUUCCUGACGCUGAGGCGCGAAAGCGUGGGGAGCAAACGGGAUUAGAUACCCUUGUAGUCC
rnacentral:rRNA from 1 species